GGGGAUUGUAUCUAGGGCCCGUGGGCAUGGGCGUGGUAGUCUGUGUACUUGGAUAAUGGAGGAGAGUUUGGGGGGUUUAUUAGGACCAGGAAAACCCAUGCAACUGUUAUGAAGAUUCCUUAUUGGCACUUUUGGUGCCUUAGGAACUUGGUGAGCUCUGAUGGGUGAGCUGUGGAGGCUCCUAGGUAACGCCAGUCCCAAGGCUGGUGUGCACUCAGCAGCAGCUGUUGCACUUUCUUCCCUAGUUCACGCUUUGGAUGAGUUAAACAUGGUCGCUAUCGUCCGCUACGCCUAUGACAAAAGAGCUAAUCCUCAAGUUGGUGUAGCCUUCCCUUUCAUUAAGGAUGCCUAUGAGUGUUUAGUUUAUGUGCAGCUGCCUUUCAUGGAAGACUUGCGGCAAUACAUGUUUUCCUCACUGAAAAACAAUAAGAAGUGCACCCCCACAGAGGCACAGCUGAGUGCGAUCGAUGAUCUGAUUGAUUCCAUGAGCUUGGUAAAGAAAAACGAGGAAGAAGACAUCAUCGAAGACUUGUUUCCAACCUCCAAAAUUCCAAAUCCUGAAUUUCAGCGGUUGUACCAGUGUCUGCUGCACAGAGCCUUACAUCUCCAGGAGCGGCUGCCCCCAAUUCAGCAGCACAUUUUGAAUAUGCUGGAUCCCCCCACUGAGAUGAAAGCAAAAUGUGAGAUUCCACUCUCUAAAGUAAAGACCCUUUUCCCUCUGACGGAAGUCGUUAAGAAAAAGGACCAAGUGACUGCUCAGGACGUUUUCCAAGACA
rnacentral:lncRNA from 1 species